rnacentral:rRNA from 1 species
ACUCCUGCGGGAGGCAGCAGUGGGGAAUAUUGCACAAUGGGCGCAAGCCUGAUGCAGCCAUGCCGCGUGUAUGAAGAAGGCCUUCGGGUUGUAAAGUACUUUCAGCGGGGAGGAAGGCGAUAAGGUUAAUAACCUUGUCGAUUGACGUUACCCGCAGAAGAAGCACCGGCUAACUCCGUGCCAGCAGCCGCGGUAAUACGGAGGGUGCAAGCGUUAAUCGGAAUUACUGGGCGUAAAGCGCACGCAGGCGGUCUGUCAAGUCGGAUGUGAAAUCCCCGGGCUCAACCUGGGAACUGCAUUCGAAACUGGCAGGCUAGAGUCUUGUAGAGGGGGGUAGAAUUCCAGGUGUAGCGGUGAAAUGCGUAGAGAUCUGGAGGAAUACCGGUGGCGAAGGCGGCCCCCUGGACAAAGACUGACGCUCAGGUGCGAAAGCGUGGGGAGCAAACAGGAUUAGAUACCCCUGGUAGUCCCA